ACGGACGCUGGCGGCGUGCUUAGCACAUGCCAGUCGAACGGAAAGGCCCUGCUUUUGUGGGGUGCUCGAGUGGCGAACGGGUGAGUAACACGUGAGUAACCUGCCCUUGACUUUGGGAUAACUUCAGGAAACUGGGGCUAAUACCGGAUAGGAGCUCCUGCUGCAUGGUGGGGGUUGGAAAGUUUCGGCGGUUGGGGAUGGACUCGCGGCUUAUCAGCUUGUUGGUGGGGUAGUGGCUUACCAAGGCUUUGACGGGUAGCCGGCCUGAGAGGGUGACCGGCCACAUUGGGACUGAGAUACGGCCCAGACUCCUACGGGAGGCAGCAGUGGGGAAUAUUGCACAAUGGGCGGAAGCCUGAUGCAGCAACGCCGCGUGCGGGAUGACGGCCUUCGGGUUGUAAACCGCUUUCGCCUGUGACGAAGCGUGAGUGACGGUAAUGGGUAAAGAAGCACCGGCUAACUACGUG
rnacentral:rRNA from 1 species